GACGAACGCUGGCGGCGUGCUUAACACAUGCAAGUCGAACGCUGAAGCUCAGCUUUUGUUGGGUGGAUGAGUGGCGAACGGGUGAGUAACACGUGAGUAACCUGCCCCCUUCUUUGGGAUAACGCCCGGAAACGGGUGCUAAUACUGGAUAUUCACUGGUCUUCGCAUGGGGGUUGGUGGAAAGGGUUUUUCUGGUGGGGGAUGGGCUCGCGGCCUAUCAGCUUGUUGGUGGGGUGAUGGCCUACCAAGGCUUUGACGGGUAGCCGGCCUGAGAGGGUGACCGGUCACAUUGGGACUGAGAUACGGCCCAGACUCCUACGGGAGGCAGCAGUGGGGAAUAUUGCACAAUGGGCGCAAGCCUGAUGCAGCGACGCCGCGUGAGGGAUGGAGGCCUUCGGGUUGUGAACCUCUUUCGCUCAUGGUCAAGCCGCAACAAUGGUUGUGGUGAGGGUAGUGGGUAAAGAAGCGCCGGCUAACCACGUG
rnacentral:rRNA from 1 species